rnacentral:lncRNA from 1 species
GAUGAAUGAAAAAGAGGAGAUUUCAAAUGAAAGCACAGUGUAAAUUACCUGACCCAGUCAAUUUGGAGCAUUAGGAAACUGCAAGAAACUCAGUGGGAUAUGAUUUUAUUGAGGCUGCAUAAUUGUCUGGAUGAGGCUGUAGGAGUGGUGAGCAAGGGUCAGGCCUUCCCAUUAUAUAUCUCAGAUUCGAGAGACUGAAGCUGGAAUGGAAAGGAAAUCUCAGAAAUUGUGACGGCAUCAGAAAGAAAUCUAUUAGGCAGAGAAAUGAAGGGAGUUUGAACUCUCCACGGUGUGGGUGCCCAACAGUGAUUCUGCAUGUCAUGAAUUAUUUUGGGGUUCAAGAGCCUACAUUGAAAGUAGCAAGAUGAAAAUCCUAGAAUUUUUAGUCAAGGUCAGUGAUCCUGUUUUUUGUGCUUUAUUUACAUGAUAUGAAGAAGCUUAAAGAAAAUGAGAGCCCAUGUCAGAAUGGCUUCCACUUCUAACACUAGUGGCAUGGGCAGGCAUGUUCCAUGGUGAUGUCCAAUAGCUUCUUUCUAUCCAUCCUGAAAU